CAUUGAUGGCAGCUUGUUUUGCCAGUGAAUCGGCUAAGUCAUUACCAUCCUUAUCAAUACCUUCUAUUUUAGAAUGGCCUUUGGUUUUCUUCCAAUAUAUGGUUAAACCAUUUUUCUUAACCAACUCAUCAAUUUUACAAAACAAUUUCCCAUGUUUAACAGGUUUGUUAUUGCUUUUCAGCAUUUGGUUACGUUUCCAGCUAGGCAGAUAUUCGACGAAACUGUUG
rnacentral:lncRNA from 1 species